rnacentral:misc_RNA from 1 species
CAAGACUAAUCGCUAGAUCACCAGGAGUGUUGAGGGUCAAACCUGCCAAACUAUUUGGAUUAUCUCCAGACCAAUGAAUAACCAGACAGUCUUUCUUAAAGUUGAAUCUCUUGACAAAGUAUGGAGAAACCACACCAGCAACCGCAUGAGGUGGAGCUAAUUUCCCAAGCUUUUCUUCUAAACCUGGUGCUGUGGCCUCUAAUGCAAUCUUAGACCAAACACGUUG